rnacentral:misc_RNA from 1 species
UUAAGUUCAGCGGGUAUUCCUACCUGAUCCGAGGUCAACCUUGUGAUGACAUAGAAGGAGACCGGCCCGGAAGGUCCUUGAAACUCGACGCGUGCUCCUUAGAAGCUCGUUGCACCGAGGGUCCCACGGACGCCGUCAUUGUUUUUAGAGCCAGUUGGUCACGGGAGGACCAACGCGGCCCAACACCAAACCCGAGGUUU